rnacentral:lncRNA from 1 species
UCUCCUCUUUUACCCCACUCAUAUACUAGCCCCCUCUGACUUAAGCAUCGGAGGGCCGGCGCCGGAGAUUCCGGCCACCGGCUUCUUGCAGGACUCUCCAGGAGGACGCCACCAGUUGACGCGCCGCCGCCCACCGUUCCAGCAGCGGAGCUCCUCCCCUCUCAGCUCGCGGCCGCCCCCGGGUCCAAUUUCCAGCAACA